rnacentral:lncRNA from 1 species
CUGAAUGGCCAUUAAAUCCCUUCCUCCAAAAUAAAGGACCAUUGCCCUCAACGAUGGAUCAUUAAGUUGCAAUGAUCUUGCUCUACGAGAUUGUUAUCACAGAUCUAGCAAGAGGGCUGGUGGCUUUUAGUCACUGUAUCAAAUCUAUUCUACUCCUCCUGAUGAAGCUUGGAUGAAUACGUCCUCAUGGAAAGAACCGUCAAGGAGGGCAGCGACACUGCAGCGGGACCCGGCUCCCAGCAUGGGCAGGAGCAGCAGAGUGGAAGCGACUCCUGGUGCGCCCAGAUCGAGAGCUCUGUGACAGCCCCACGGACUUUCCACAGCCCAGGAGCAACAUGGGAGGGGGCAGGAUUUCCUCCAGGCCCUUAGAAAGGGGCACAGAAGCAGGAGAAAAGAAUCAGAUCUGUACAGGCCUUGCCUGGGGAGUGAGCAAGUGCAGCCGCAAAGGGGCAUGGGGCAGCGACCAAGAACGGGACGGUAUGAUACAGACCUGGGAGGCUGGUGUGGACAGAUGACCUGGCUCAGAGGCCCUUCUCUCCACUCCCUGCAGCCUCCCCUUAUCCAGAAUGGGGACACAAUCCCCAGGGAUAGAAAACUAUCCCGCGGUAACAGAAAUUGUCAGCCACCAAGCAGAAUGAGGAUUUGAAAUGGAAAUGACAUUGAUUUAAACAAAAAAGUAACGUUUCUUACACACUCGGGCUGUGUUCUGAGAUUCUUGCGUUCUCAGGUGAGCAAGGUCAAAACUGAUGGUCAGAGGUAGCGAGCCCUUUAGACUGGUCGUGAUACACCCUGACCUCUAGGGGGCAGUCGAAGCUCCGCCCACCUGACUCAUCCCGAGGAGGAAAGGAAAGUUGAUCAGGGUCUUCAGGGAAGGGCCAAGAGGGCCAGAUUUCAGAUGAAGGAACAAAGGGAUCGUGAAUCGACCUGGAGCACAUGGAAACCCCCCCUUGCAUUGUUUCUCUCCGCACAGAAUCCCAAACAUCUGAGCCCCUGAUGUAGGGAGGUGGGGUCCACAGAUAGUUGAGAAACAACCUCUUCCCGCCCUCCGCUCCCCUGGAGUGAGGGCUUAGGCAGGGCUGCCCUCAGCCUCCCUGAGAAGCUGGGCCUCUCUUGUUUGGUCACUUUGUGG